GUCCCCAUCGUCUAGAGGCCUAGGACACCGCCCUUUCACGGCGGUAACAGGGGUUCGACUCCCCUUGGGGAUGCCA
rnacentral:tRNA from 19 species